rnacentral:lncRNA from 1 species
GUGCUAUGGAGGUGCUUGGAGGCGAAGAGUGUGCCAGAAGCCUAUAUCAGAGUUAUCAAGGACAUGUACGAUGGAGCUAAGACUAGGGCGAGGACGGUGAGUGGCGAAUCAGACCAUUUCCCUGUAGUAAUGGGGCUCCAUCAAGGGUCGGCACUGAGCCCCCUGUUGUUCGCCUUAGUGAUAGAUGCUCUAACCCGACAUAUCCAAGGGGAUGUGCCUUGGUGUAUGCUCUUUGCUGAUGAUAUAAUAUUGAUGCUCUAACCCGACAUAUCCAAGGGGAUGUGCCUUGGUGUAUACUCUUUGCUGAUGAUAUAAUAUUGAUAGACGAGACGAGGGCCGGUGUUAGUGAAAGGUUAGAGGUAUGGAGACAUACCCUCGAGUCUAAGGGGUUCAAAAUAAGCAGAUCUAAGACGGAUUAUCUGGAGUGCAAGUUUAGCGACGAGCCGAGUGGGGUAGGCAGGGAAGUGAUGCUUGGUUCACAGGCCAUCGCCAAAAGGGACAGUGUCCGUUAUCUUGGGUCUGUGAUUUAGGGGGACGGAGCGAUCGACGGGGACGUCACCCAUCGGAUAGGAGCAGGGUGGUCGAAGUGGAGGCUUGCUUCAGGGGUCCUGUGUGACAAGAAAAUUCCACACAAACUCAAGGGNNN